UACGUAGGGUGCGAGCGUUACUCGGAAUUACUGGGCGUAAAGCGUGCGCAGGCGGUUCGUUAUGUCCGUUGUGAAAGCCCGGGGCUCACCCCCGGAAGUGCAUUGGAAACUGGUGGACUCGAGUCCCGGAGAGGAGAGUGGAAUUCCUGGUGUAGCGGUGAAAUGCGUAGAUAUCAGGAGGAACACCGGUGGCGAAGGCGGCUCUCUGGACGGUGACUGACGCUGAGACGCGAAAGCGUGGGGAGCAAACAGG
rnacentral:rRNA from 1 species